UACGUGCGGUGGAGGAGUGGUUUCUAACCUGGUUUGUGGCCUGCGGCCUGUGUUGCGUUUGCUUGUUUUUUUAUUCUGUCUCUAGGUUCGCUAGCGUCUCUUCAUUAAGCUCGUGUGCGUUUCCCGUGUGGAUGGCGUGGUUUCUCAUAACGGACGGGUUUCUGACGCGAUGUACGUGCGGGGCCUGACCUCGCUCGCGUCUGCCGAAGAAACUCGAGAUUGCGGCGUGCCCGGCUCACGAGACGUCGCGCGUCAGUAAACCGGGCUUUAUUUGCAUAAGAUUACAGAUGGGCUGAAUGGCCUGUUCUCCUCAUUAUGUUCUAUAUGGGCUGGAUCUGUGCUAGAUUAUUUUAGAAAUACGAGAGGAAACUCAAAGGUAAUUGACAAACACUAUUAUAAAAAAUACAAUUGAACUAAAUAUAAAUUGUAUUAUUGCAUUGAUUGCUCUUUAAUUGUUUUAUAACAACAUAUUGCGCUCUCAAAAAGGAUGAGUUCACAUCCAACUUACUUUUUGUGUUUAUACUUACCCGUUACUAAUUGUGUUACAGAUAUACAUUUUAGGUGUUACAAAGCGAGACUUUUUUACGCAGACUGUUUAAAAGUAAUAUAAAAUGUGUUGUCCUAAACUACGCACGGAGGUGUGUUAAAAAUGGCACGUUGGGCGUUGUUUUUAACACCU